GAUGAACGCUGGCGGCGUGCCUAAUACAUGCAAGUCGAGCGAACGGACGAGAAGCUUGCUUCUCUGAUGUUAGCGGCGGACGGGUGAGUAACACGUGGAUAACCUACCUAUAAGACUGGGAUAACUUCGGGAAACCGUAGCUAAUACCGGAUAAUAUUUUGAACCGCAUGGUUCAAAAGUGAAAGACGGUCUUGCCGUCACUUAUAGAUGGAUCCGCGCUGCAUUAGCUAGUUGGUAAGGUAACGGCUUACCAAGGCAACGAUGCAUAGCCGACCUGAGAGGGUGAUCGGCCACACUGGAACUGAGACACGGUCCAGACUCCUACGGGAGGCAGCAGUAGGGAAUCUUCCGCAAUGGGCGAAAGCCUGACGGAGCAACGCCGCGUGAGUGAUGAAGGUCUUCGGAUCGUAAAACUCUGUUAUUAGGGAAGAACAUAUGUGUAAGUAACUGUGCACAUCUUGACGGUACCUAAUCAGAAAGCCACGGCUAACUACGU
rnacentral:rRNA from 1 species